AAAUUGAAGAGUUUGAUCAUGGCUCAGAUUGAACGCUGGCGGCAGGCCUAACACAUGCAAGUCGAACGGUAACAGGAAGAAGCUUGCUUCUUUGCUGACGAGUGGCGGACGGGUGAGUAAUGUCUGGGAAACUGCCUGAUGGAGGGGGAUAACUACUGGAAACGGUAGCUAAUACCGCAUAACGUCGCAAGACCAAAGAGGGGGACCUUCGGGCCUCUUGCCAUCGGAUGUGCCCAGAUGGGAUUAGCUAGUAGGUGGGGUAACGGCUCACCUAGGCGACGAUCCCUAGCUGGUCUGAGAGGAUGACCAGCCACACUGGAACUGAGACACGG
rnacentral:rRNA from 1 species